GAUGAACGCUAGCGGCAGGCUUAACACAUGCAAGUCGAGGGAGAGGUUACCUCCGGGUAACCAAAACCGGCGCACGGGUGCGUAACGCGUAUAUAAUUUGCCUUCCAUAUAGGUAUAGAUAGAAGCAAUUUGGUUUAAUUCCUACCGGAUAAUAACUCCGGCUGCGUUUUUAUGUUUGAAAAAUGGCGGCGAAAGAUUAGUAUGCGUUCUAUUAGCUAGUUGGAGAGGUAGUGGCUCCCUACGGCGACGAUAGAUAGGGGUUCUGAGAGGGACGUCCCCCACAGUGGUACUGAGAUAAGGACCAGAGUGCUACGGGAGGGAGCAGUAAGGGAUAUAGGAGUAUGGACUAAAGACUGAUCCAGCCAAGCCUCAUGCAGGAAGAAGGUCCUAGGGAUUAUGAACUUCUUUUUGAAGGGAAGAAUAGGGAGUACGUGUGCGUGAGUGACGGUACCUUACAAAGAAGCAUCGGCUAACUCCGUG
rnacentral:rRNA from 1 species